GGCGAAAGGGACUGAAAUAUAGUAGGGAAGUCGGCGAUGUCCGGAGGCGAGAAAAGCCUAUGUGUAUGCUAAGGUGCCCGUACCGCAAACCGACACAGGUAGGUAGGAAGAAGAUUCUAAGGCCAACGGGAGAAGGGUUGUUAAGGAACUCGGCAAGUUGACCCCGUAACUUCGGAAUAAGGGGUGCUCACGAGAGUGAGCCGCAGAGAAUAGGCCCAGGCGACUGUUUAACAAAAACACAUGGCUUUGC
rnacentral:rRNA from 16 species